rnacentral:rRNA from 1 species
CAAGUCGAGCGGAGAUGAGGUGCUUGCACCUUAUCUUAGCGGCGGACGGGUGAGUAAUGCUUAGGAAUCUGCCUAUUAGUGGGGGACAACAUUCCGAAAGGAAUGCUAAUACCGCAUACGUCCUACGGGAGAAAGCAGGGGAUCUUCGGACCUUGCGCUAAUAGAUGAGCCUAAGUCGGAUUAGCUAGUUGGUGGGGUAAAGGCCUACCAAGGCGACGAUCUGUAGCGGGUCUGAGAGGAUGAUCCGCCACACUGGGACUGAGACACGGCCCAGACUCCUACGGGAGGCAGCAGUGGGGAAUAUUGGACAAUGGGGGGAACCCUGAUCCAGCCAUGCCGCGUGUGUGAAGAAGGCCUUAUGGUUGUAAAGCACUUUAAGCGAGGAGGAGGCUACUGAGACUAAUACUCUUGGAUAGUGGACGUUACUCGCAGAAUAAGCACCGNCUAACUCUGUGCCAGCA